GUGCUGAUAUAAGGGUUCGACUCCGGAGAGGGAGCCUGAGAAACGGCUACCACAUCCAAGGAAGGCAGCAGGCGCGCAAAUUACCCACUCUCGGCACGAGGAGGUAGUGACGAAAAAUAACGAGACGGAUCUCUUUGAGGCCCGUUAUCGGAAUGAGAACAAUUCAAAUCCUUUAACGAGGAUCUAGCGGAGGGCAAGUCUGGUGCCAGCAGCCGCGGUAAUUCCAGCUCCGCAGGUGUAUAUCUAUGCUGCUGCGGUUAAAAAGCUCGUAGUUGGAUCUGCGUGCUCGGAACUGGUUGGCUCACUGAGUUCAAACUGGUCUCCGGCGCUUUAUUGGCUGGUUUUCCCUUGAUGCUCUUAACCGGGUGUCUUGGGUGGCUAGCACGUUUACUUUGAAAAAAUUAGAGUGCUCAAUACAGGCGUAAAGCCUUGAAUAGUGGUGCAUGGAAUAAUAGAAUAGGACCUCGGCUCUAUUUUGUUGGUUUUCGGAACGCGAGGUAAUGAUUAAGAGGGACAGACGGGGGCAUUCGUAUUGCGACGUUAGAGGUGAAAUUCUUGGAUCGUCGCAAGACGGACGACUGCGAAAGCAUUUGCCAAGAAUGUUUUCAUUAAUCAAGAACGAAAGUUAGAGGUUCGAAGGCGAUCAGAUACCGCCCUAGUUCUAACCGUAAACGAUGCCAACUAGCGAUUCGCAGACGUUAAACAACGACCUUGCGGGCAGCUUCCCGGAAACGAAAGUGUUCGGGUUCCGGGGGAAGUAUGGUUGCAAAGCUGAAACUUAAAGGAAUUGACGGAAGGGCACCACCAGGAGUGGAGCCUGCGGCUUAAUUUGACCCAACACGGGAAAACUCACCCGGCCCGGACACCGUAAGGAUUGACAGAUUGAGAGCUCUUUCUUGAUUCGGUGGGUGGUGGUGCAUGGCCGUUCUUAGUUGGUGGAGCGAUUUGUCUGGUUUAUUCCGAUAACGAACGAGACUCUGGCCUACUAAAUAGUGGGCGGAUUCUUUCUGUCCGCAACACUUCUUAGAGGGACAAGCGGUGUUCAGCCGCACGAGAUUGAGCAAUAACAGGUCUGUGAUGCCCUUAGAUGUCCGGGGCUGCACGCGCGCUACACUGAAGGAAUCAGCGUGCUUUCUGACCUUGCCCGAAAGGGCUGGGUAACCCGAUGAAAAUCCUUCGUGAUUGGGAUAGGGACUUGCAAUUAUUUCCCUUGAACGAGGAAUUCCCAGUAAGUGUGGGUCAUAAGCUCGCGUUGAUUACGUCCCUGCCCUCUGUACACACCGCCCGUCGCUGCCCGGAACUGAGCCGUUUCGAGAAGAACAGGGACCGUCGUUGAAGGGCCUUAACGGGUUUUUCUCUGAUAGAAACUGUUUUAAUCGCAGUGGCUUGAACCGGGCAAAAGUCGUAACAAGGUU
rnacentral:rRNA from 1 species